rnacentral:rRNA from 1 species
UACGUAGGGUGCGAGCGUUAAUCGGAAUUACUGGGCGUAAAGCGUGCGCAGGCGGUGAUGUAAGACAGAUGUGAAAUCCCCGGGCUCAACCUGGGAACUGCAUUUGUGACUGCAUCGCUGGAGUGCGGCAGAGGGGGAUGGAAUUCCGCGUGUAGCAGUGAAAUGCGUAUAUAUGCGGAGGAACACCGAUGGCGAAGGCAAUCCCCUGGGCCUGCACUGACGCUCAUGCACGAAAGCGUGGGGAGCAAACAGG